CGCGGCCUAUCAGCUUGUUGGUGGGGUAAUGGCCUACCAAGGCGACGACGGGUAGCCGGCCUGAGAGGGCGACCGGCCACACUGGGACUGAGACACGGCCCAGACUCCUACGGGAGGCAGCAGUGGGGAAUAUUGCACAAUGGGCGGAAGCCUGAUGCAGCGACGCCGCGUGAGGGAUGACGGCCUUCGGGUUGUAAACCUCUUUCAGCAGGGACGAAGCGCAAGUGACGGUACCUGCAGAAGAAGCACCGGCUAACUACGUGCCAGCAGCCGCGGUAAUACGUAGGGUGCGAGCGUUGUCCGGAAUUACUGGGCGUAAAGAGUUCGUAGGCGGUUUGUCACGUCGUGUGUGAAAUUCCGGGGCUUAACUCCGGGCGUGCAGGCGAUACGGGCAUAACUUGAGUGCUGUAGGGGAGACUGGAAUUCCUGGUGUAGCGGUGAAAUGCGCAGGUAUCAGGAGGAACACCGAUGGCGAAGGCAGGUCUCUGGGCAGUUACUGACGCUGAGGAGCGAAAGCAUGGGUAGCGAACAGGAUUGGAUACCCUGGUAGUCCAUGCCGUAAACGGUGGGCGCUAGGCGUAGGGGGCUUCCACGUCUUCUGUGCCGUAGCUAACGCAUUAAGCGCCCCGCCUGGGGAGUACGG
rnacentral:rRNA from 1 species